UUUUUUUUUUUUUGAGUAUGCCUUGACUACACCAUAGUGAUUCAUAUGUGAUUGUCUCUAAGCCUUGGUACUUUUAAAAGCUGCUGGUGAUACCAAUAUAUAAACACAGUUAAGAUUUACUGGGCUAGAAGAAUAUAGGCCAUAGCUUCCCUGCUCAGUUGCUACUAUUGCCCUGAGGAUUUGACCACCUGCUUAUCUUUCUAGACUCAUCUUUCUGACUCCUUCCUCCUACACACAGACAAACUAUAACUGAACCACUUCUCUCCUGUCAAACCCUAUCUGACUUCUAUCCCUUUGUUCAUGUUUCCUCUGACGAGACCGCCUUCCUCAGAUUGAUGCCACCCUAGUGGACCCCUUCUUGGAAAACUUUCCCUCAGCAUCCUCAUGUGUGCCUCUGUUCUGAACUCUGGAAACAUUUCACGUGGCAGCCCCCAUCCUGGAAACUUUGUGGGGAUCUGCAUACCUCACAGGGCAGCGAGUGAGUCUGCUUACCUGCUUUCCUAGUACAAGUUCUGGGUGUUGAACCUAAGGCCUUGUAUGUACUCUACCACGGAGCUAUAUCACCAUCCCAAUGCCAGAAAACUGCAUUCCCUUAUCCACAGUGAUUGGUUCAGGAAUGGAAACAUUUGGAAGACAAGUCAAUCAAAGCCUAUAGCAAAGAAGUAGUAAAGAUGAGGAGAGGUAACUUCCUGAUGAUUUUAUGUUACUCCUUGGAUUCCACUCUCCCUGUCAUGAUUAAUUCCAUGUUUCAGAAACACCAUUCUACCUGUUGUUGUGGGUUUUGGGGGUCUUUUUGUUUCUUUUUUUAUUGUUUGUUUUUAUAUAUGAUUACAUUUGUCUGUAGACUUUGGGAAAAGCAGAUUACUCUCCAUAAUGUGGGAGGCCCUCAUUUAAUCAGUUGAAGGCCUUAAGUGCAAAGACUGAAGUUUCCCAGAGUACUACAGAGUACAAUAUAGAACCUUGGUUGAGCCUAAUGCCCUGCAUAAUUUGGACUCAAGACUGUAACAUCAACUGUUAAUCUGAAUUUCCAGCCUGUUGGCCCACUCUGUAAGUUGCCCUCGUAAGCACAAGUGAAUUCCUUAAAAUAUCACCCCUCAUGGAUUCUGUUUCUCCGGAGAACCCCAAUUAAUGCACUGACAAUGUACUUUCAUCUUUGAAUUAUCCAAUGUCUUACUUUUGUGUUUGUUUUAGCCAGCUUGAAUAGAGUUGCCAUCACCUGAAACUAAGAGUUGAACAGUCCAGAGUAUAAAUGGAUGGAGUCCCCUAUAGGUUAAUUAAUGAAAGAUUUUCCCAGGAUUUUGCCUUCCUUAUUAGCUACAAGUAACAAGCUACUUAAGGACACAAUUGUGUCUGAUGCUUUUUUUGCUUCAAAUUCCUUGAAACUUGAUCAGGCUAAUAAAUGUUGACUGAGCUGAAUUACAGAAUGAGGUGGCCUGGAAUGCUCACCUAUUGGGAUUACCCUUUUAUUUAGAGAUUAAUAUCCUUUGACAUUGAAGAAAUCCAACAGUGACUGCAGGUUUUAUCAUUUGUAUUAAGAACCAUAGAAAGUAGGUUCAAUAGCAUUAUUGUUAUAGAAUUGUUCAGAGGUUGUUGCAGUGACUUUAUUUAUGUCCUUAUAUGUAUAUGUCUAUUAUAGAUGUACACAGGUUUCAUUCUGGAUGUUUGGAUUGGAUAGUACACACUUCUUAGCUCCACCAAACCAGCACCCUUCCAAGGACACUGGUCAGAAUUAGCACAGACACUGUAUAUUGGUUUGCUAGGGUGACUAUCACACAGCAUAAACAGCAGAAAUCCAUUGCCUCAUAGUUCUGGAUGCCAGAAACCCAAGAUCAAGGUUGAAGGUAGGGCCAUACUCCCUCUGAAGGCACUAGGGAAGUAUUGUUUCCAGACCUUUCUCUUAGCUUCUGGUAGUCCCUCGGCUUGUGGAAGCAUAACUUCAGUCUUCACGUGGCAUUCUCUCUGCAUAUGUGACAAUCUCCAAAUUUCCCCUUUUUAUGAAGACACCAUUCAUAUGGUAUUACAGGCCCACCCUACUCAUUACCUCAUCUUAACUAAUUACACUUGCAACACCCCUGUGUCCAAAUAAGGAGACAUAUUUGGACACCAAGAAUCAGGAUUUUAACAUGAAUGUUGAGGGGAGACAACUCGGUUCAUGACAAUGUUUGUAUUUCCUUAAUCUUCAGAGCAACAUUCAUAGGCGGGCACUAGAGCUGAGCGAGUGAUAGGAGGAAGGAACACUGGUCUCCAGAGCUAGGAAAUACAUUGCUAGGACUACUCACUUACUGCCCUAUAGUUACUGCUGUAGAUUACUAUGCCAAGCAGUUAUUGUUAUUUUUACUGCAGUGCUAGAGAUCAGAUCCAGCAUGCAAAGCACAUGCCCUGCCUCUGAGCUAUACACCAGCCCUAAGCAAACAAUUUCUACUCUGGCACUCCAGGCUUGCAACCCACUCUAGUGAGUUCUCUUUCCUUCUCCCAUAUUUUCUAGUUAGUUUUUAACCUAUUGCUUCCUUCUCCUUAAAGAGCAAAUAACCAAGAAACAAGAAUUAGAAACAACAGAAAAAGAAAGGAAGUAGAGAAAGAGUGUUUUUAAAUAACAGUGUUUAAAAUGACACAUGCAUUGUUUUCUGUGACAUAUAGAACCAAGAUAAACACAAAAAGUAAUUUUCUCAGGUUCCAGUUGUUUUUUAUCACUCAGACAGAAUGGUGCUCCAUAGAGCAUGAGGAACAUUGUGCUAUUGCAAACUCUCUGUACCAGAGCAGGAGGAAGCCAGUGCAUCUGACUCUUGCCAAAGACAAUUCUUCCAAGUGACUGGGGAGAGGGAACCUAGAUGGGGGGAAUGGGGUUCUUCAAGAAAGCCAGUGAUUGUGUGUAAACAAUUUGACUAAGGAACACUGACAACAGUCCCACAUGCCAUCUCUGUCAUGCUUGCUAUAGGUCAGUCACCUACUCUUUUUUUUUUUCUUUUUCUUUCCACAUUUUUUAAAUUGGUACGUAAUAGUUGUACAUAAUAAUGGGACUGACCCCUAAUCCUGAAAAUUUCCAGCAUGGUCCCUGGUUCAUGAAGAUUCGUGAGCACGGGCUUGUUGCAGUGGGUAAUAGCAUGUAGCUCCUAUAUAGCCAAGUAAAUAAGUACCAGAUUAGAGGCCCAGCACCUACAUAAAAGAUACAGAUUCUAAAAAAAAAAAAAUAAAAUAAAGUUUUAAAUGAAUUAACAAUGUUAUUACUACUGAUACUUGACAUAUUACUAAUAAAUCAGUAGGAAAUUUGGGGAAAGAUGAUGAAAAUUUUAUGGGCCAGAAAGAAUAUAUUUUGUCCAGAUCUCAUCGGAAAUCACAGACAUUUCAUGAGUUUUCCUCUGAUUCUUCCAGAACUGCCAAGGAGAAAAUAAAAGGUUAUCCCAGAGCUUCAGCUUUUCUCUCAUCUACUCGAUGCCAAGUAGUAAAAUGAGAGAAAAUGGAAUUCUCACCAUAUUUGAAUCAUAUAAGUCAGAGGUUUUGCUUUAUAAAAAUCCAGCCUGCUUAAAAUGGGCCCAACUCCUGGCCUAUAGUGUCCAAAAAAUGUUAUUUGAAAUAAAUUGCACUCUAUUAACAAAA